rnacentral:rRNA from 1 species
AUUGAACGCUGGCGGCAGACCUAACACAUGCAAGUCGAGCGGAUGAGGAGAGCUUGCUCUCUGAUUUAGCGGCGGACGGGUGAGUAAUGCCUAGGAAUCUGCCUGGUAGUGGGGGAUAACGUUCCGAAAGGAACGCUAAUACCGCAUACGUCCUACGGGAGAAAGCAGGGGACCUUCGGGCCUUGCGCUAUCAGAUGAGCCUAGGUCGGGAUUAGCUAGUUGGUGAGGUAAUGGCUCACCAAGGCGACGAUCCGGAACGGGUCUGAGAGGAUGAUCAGUCACACUGGAACGGAGACACGGUCCAGACUCCUACGGGAGGCAGCAGUGGGGAAUAUUGGACAAUGGGCGAAAGCCUGAUCCAGCCAUGCCGCGUGUGUGAAGAAGGUCUUCGGAUUGUAAAGCACUUUAAGUUGGGAGGAAGGGUUGUAGAUUAAUACUCUGCAAUUUUGACGUUACCAACAGAAUAAGCACCGGCUAACUUCGUGCCAGCAGCCGCGGUAAUAC